ACGUCCAAUUUACUCUGCCCCGCAAUUAUCUCCUCCGAAACUCACGUGUCUUUCCUGGCUAUCCCGAACCCCUUCUCCACCAGCAGCCAUAGCCAAUCCCGCGACCCCCUUCUCCAUCCGCCGCGGCCGCCGCCGCCGCCAAUCCCGCGACCCCCUUCUCCAUCCGCCGCGGCCGCCGCCGCCGCCACUCCCGUGCUCCCCUUCUCCACCGCCGCCGCCGCUGCACCCCACUCCCCACGCCGCACCGAUUCCCUUCCCUCCCCUCUAACUCCUCCGCCGGAGCUUCAUUAUCAGAACUGCUUGGCCCUGGUACGUUGCAGCCGCGCCCGCGCCGCGGUAGAUUUGGUGGUGGAAGAAUCUUCGAAUAGUCCAUGCGUCCGCGUUUCUUCUUCUGCUCCUCUCGCGUUGUAGCCUGGGGGGUUGGGACACGGCACCGCCUGAGCUGGUUCCUGUUGCCCGCUGUGGUGGUCCGCCGGGGCUUCAUUACCGGAGAAGCUUGGGCCUGCGCCCUACCGGCGCACCCAGCCGAGCGCCCCAUCCAACAAGCGACGCCACGGCUGAGGCGCUACAUGUGUAUUUAUACAUCGAGCUCCAUGAGGCGAGCAAUGCAGCGAGUAUUUAUACAUCGAUGGAUCGAUACAUGUGUGAUUGUGUUCGCCUCUUCCUUAACUUGCUGACAAAGGGUCCUCUUCAUGCCCUCCCUCGACCCCUCGACAGCUCUUCGCAGCAGGCAGGUCGCCACACACGAGAUAUUCUAAGUCGCCGGAUUAGAGGAGAGGAAAAAUUGGUAUGCUGUCUCUUUAAGUGCAGGAUGUUUUUUUAGGGAGAACCUGAGCCUGAAGACGACCCAUAUAAGGAUAUAUCUGAGAGGUAUACGUACAGGUCUACGAACUCAUCUCCAGGUUAUAUUUGAGAACGCACCAGCCUUAAAUCCAAGAUCUGGAAGUGGACAUAUCAAUCCCGUGCAACACAAUCUUGGAUAAAUUAGUUUGUUUUCUGGUCCAGAUGAUUUUUUCAAGUGCAGAAAUAAAAUAGACAUGGUUAGUCUGAGGUAUUCCUGUCUGAUUUUCUUUAGGUUUCUACCUAUUAUUGUUUGUCUUUUGAGUUAUGAGUUAUGUUGACGUGAAUGCAACUGAUGGAUGAUUUCUUAGUUUGAGAAUUACAGUAUUUUGUUCUCAAGAUCUAUAUCCCGGAUUACAAUUAUGUACACUCGAUUUUCUGCAUCAUUCCAUCAAAAUUUGUUCCAUGGAAACACUAUCAAAUUAUGCCUAACUUUUCUCUAGAUUGUGCUUAUAGCAAAACAUUUCCAGGAUCAAUCCUUUUACCACCUCCUGUCAGCUAUGCAGCAGACGAGCUCACCUCAAGGGAGUGCACUGUGCCUGGCGCACUCAACUCAGUGGAGCGCAUGGCGAUGGCUGAAGUUCUACUACUUCAGUUUUUUUUUUGUCUAACUGAACCACAUUUGAGAUUUUUGUUGUCGAUUUUGCGAGAGGAAGUGUUUGCUUUAGACAUGCAAAAUUUGUUCCAAAAACCAAAGGAAAUGAUGUAAGUCAUUGAGUGCCAUCUGGUGAAACAAUAUCUUGAAGGACUAGGAUAAACUGGUUGUAUGUCAUGAACCUUUCCCUGAAAGGCUUCAGAACCACAUCCAAAAUCUGAAGGAAAUGUUGUAAGGCAUCGAGUAUUGUAUUUUUUCUAUUGAGGGAUAUCAUCCAAAAAAGAAACACUCAUACACUAACAUUGCAGUAACCUUUUGUUCGGUUAUAAUCAUGUCUGUAGUACAAUAUGUCAUCAGGCAUUUAUCGAGUUAUUAAGCAACAUGGCAUUGUCUAUAUGGGUCGUCUUCAGGUAAACUAUCACUGGAUGCACAGUUUUUUUUUUAUUUGGUCAAGAAGUAGAAGGCAUGAGAAGAAUUAAACUAUUUCAUGUAUUGUUGUUUAUAUCUAGGCAAAUUAUUACUGGUUGUGCUAGCAUGGCAUGCAAAAUAUUGUGUGUGAGAGGCUAUGAAGCUGUGAUUUAGGAUGUCAAAUAAGAUGGCUUCUAAGGUCUUCAACCAUCGUGGAAAGGUGAGCUCCAAGAAUUGGUGCUUCAAGAAAGGUGAGCUCCAAGGUAUUUUUUGCUUUUUUUGCUAGCUCCAAGAAUUCCAUGCUAGCUCCAAGAAUUUUUGCUUCAAUGAAAAUCAGAACAUCAGUACAGAUUACAUGUUAGGGGUUGCAUUUUUUGCUUUUUUGUAUAUUGGAUUAUUUAAGAAGCUGAUAUUCUUUUCUUUAGUAAUGGGUAGAUGAAAGUUAAGCAGAACAUAGUCUGUAAUUGAUGGUCCAGUGAGAAAGUGAUUUAAGUCGGCGCUGCUGCCAAUGGGUGGCAGUGCCCCUGCUCCUGGAUCAUCACUCAACCAUAUUUUUGGCUGCAACUGGAAAUAGGAUGUUGAAGGAAGUUUUACGACUACCAAGGUACUUUUUUUUACAACCUCUGAUUGUCAACUUUCUUCAAAGAUGCAUCACUGUUGUAUCCUCUCCUACAAUAUAAAAGCUUUUGUCAUGAUAUUUCUGGUUGCGGUUUCGUAAACUGAACAAUCAUCAAAAUGCACAAGUCUUUUCAUAUUGAAACUGUACUUUCAUUGAACCUUCUGCUUCCAGCCAUAUAUCAUAUAGAGAGUAAGCUUGGUGGGAGAAUACAACAGACAUUCAGUUAUAGAAGUUAAAAGGCACAGAAAACAUGGCACACGAAGGAGCCGGAAUAAAAGAAAUCAGAAAAUUGGAUGUCGUCUCCUAGCAAAAUCUCUUUUGUUCCUUUCAUAUUUUAUAUCUACGGGUCACAUGGAGGUGCUUUGCCAUUCUUCAUGGUUUCAUAUUGAGAUUUAUAUGCAACUGUUUCAUAUACAGGUAUGAACAUUGUUUUCAAAUUCAGUGACCAUUCCUGAAAGAAAAAAAAUGAUGGCCAAUUGCAUUGUCUUCUGGAAUGUAAUUUAUGCACCAUGGAGUACUAGCAUAGGACAGAUGUAUUGGUUGUAGACCAUGGUGAAAGGCUUUAUGAAUUAAAAUUUACAAGUGUGUGAGUAAUAUAUUGCCAUCCAUCCAUAGAUUUUUACUCACUUCAUUGUUCGGCACAGUUUAAUUGUCAGUGUCCAAAAUGCAUAUGAUUUUAUUUUGUACUCCCAGCCAAUUACAGCUUUACUGGUUCUUUUAAAAUUAAAUGGAAGUAGAUACUGGUUUCAGCUUCUAAACAAAUGUUUGACAGAUUCCCUUUCAAUUUGAGUCACAGGAAAUGGAGUGUUUACCCGAGGGUUCGUGGAAGAAAUCUACGUGCCAUCAUGAGGAAAGAGGGAACGACCUACGGCAUGGGAUACCGAAGAGUGAAAACUGUAGUUCUGUUUUGUUCUUCAAAUAGAUCUUUUUAUUGGGACCACUUUAUGUUGUAUAGUGAAAUCAUGUUAUAUACUAUAAUCAUGUUGUCUUGAGAAGAAUCAAGCAAGAAUUAACUUGUCCAGUGACUAUGUUUAACAAUGGUGGGGACUGGAGGAAUAAUUAGUAUAUUUAA